GUUCUAGUCGGUGAGCCUGGGAAAACCGACUGAGUUCGUUGUGAUCUCGUAAAACAAUAAGUUGGGUUGUGAACUUGUAAAACAACCGGCUGUAAUCCGAGGGGUUAUAGUGAAUUCCCAAGUGAGGCUUGGGGAGUGGACGUAGGAGCAAGGGUUAGCUCCGAACCACUAUAAAAUUGCUUGUGUUUGUGAUUGCUUCACUGUCUCUUACUUUCCCUUCAUCCACUGCAUAUAGCAUCUAAUUAAUCCACUCGAAA
rnacentral:lncRNA from 1 species